rnacentral:misc_RNA from 1 species
UUGGUAAUGUGAUUAAGAACAUACCUUGCUGAAUUUUGUUUAACGUUAGAUCCCAAAUGAAUGAGACAGUUUGAAACCAUUUCAUGUUACUACAUGAUUCAAAACCAAUGGCUGUUUUAACAUGUAUGUUCUUGUACCAGACAACAAAUAGAGCUUAAAGCUAAAACUCAGAUAGGAACAAGUAAACAGUAAGCUCAUUGUGGUCCAAUUGAUCAUCGUUGUCAUUUGAUGCUUGCCUUUGGAAUGGAUGAUGUGCAUGGCCCACCCGAUGUCAUAAAUGGUAUGCCCUUAAAUGUGGCCACACCCUUGUCAUCAGUGAAAAGAUUCAGUGUUAUUUUCUCCAACUGCUUCUUUUUUGGAUUUAGGAUAUCUUCUGGCUUACCAUCAAUCCCUGAAAAUGAGACGCGUUCUCCAAUUUUGGCACCUUCUGGAGGGAGCAAAGGCUCUACAACAGUGUGAUCCUCAUUAGAAGCACACAGGACAAGUCCUUCUGACAUCACGUCACGUAGCUUUCCAGGUUUUACAUUAGUUAUCAGCACAACAUGACGAUUCGUCAACUCAUCUGGACUGCAAAACUUUGCCAAACCACUGACCACCUGCCUCAAUUUUGCAUCCCCAACAUCUAUCUCCUCAACCAAUAAACUAUCGGCAGAUGGAUGUUUCCAUGCUUUGCGAAUAAGUCCAACCUGUAUGUUCAGCAAACUAACACUUACUUCUUUAUCUUUCUCAGCAGGUUCUGUUUCAGCUGGUUUCUUUUUCUCUGGCAUAGAUUCCUUAUUUUCUGUAACCUUUUUCCCAGCAUCAUUUUUCUUUAUAUUCUUUUCCGCUUCUGAUUUUUCUGUGUUCUUUGUGCUUUGCAGUGUCUUUUUUGCAUUUGAAUCCACUUCAACCUUAGCCAUACCCCUUUUACCCUGCAACAGAGGCUCAAAUGCAGGCUUUUCAAGCAAUAUCUUUUCAAAUAGGUCCACAAACUCCUCCUUGUGCUGAAUGUAAUCCAUCCAUCUCAUCACAUGUGUCAACUUUUCUCUCUCUAAAUGUGAAAGGCCAAUCACUGAAGAAUGUAUUACUGAAAACACAAUGACAUCAGCCUCAGAAGGAGUAGUUCCAUUGCCCAAUAGUACAGAGUUCUGAGCCAAGUCUUGAUUGAAUCCACAGAGAGCAUCAAAGCACGCCUGAGAGUCUACAGGAAAACUCUCUGCAAACACUAUCCACUUCAUCACCUCGUUAUUUUCUUUCUGUGGAGAACAUUUUCCCGAUGACUUCAAAAUGUUUGUGUACAAACUCGUAAUACUAUCCUUGCCACUGACACCCAAAGAAGCCCCAGGAUCUAAAGAUAGGUGCUUGAUGAGAGCUGAUGCUAUUAAUUGCUUUCUUUUGAGAGUGAUGCUUUCAUCAGUAGAUGCCAUGCCCAAUCCUCAGUGUUUUCUUC